UGCAUAUCAAUAAGCGGAGGAAAAGAAACUAACAAGGAUUCCCCUAGUAACGGCGAGUGAAGAGGGAAGAGCUCAAAUUUUGAAUCUGGAGUCUCUGGCGUCCGAAUUGUAAUCUAGAGAAGUGUUUUCCGUGACGGACCGUGCACAAGUCUCCUGGAAUGGAGCGUCAUAGAGGGUGAGAAUCCCGUAUAUGGCAUGGACCCCCGUUGCUCUGUGAUACACUCUCGACGAGUCGAGUUGUUUGGGAAUGCAGCUCCAAAUGGGUGGUAAAUGCCAUCUAAAGCUAAAUAUUGGCGAGAGACCGAUAGCGAACAAGUACCGUGAGGGAAAGAUGAAAAGCACUUUGGAAAGAGAGUGAAACAGUACGUGAAAUUGUUGAAAGGGAAACGCUUGAAGUCAGUCGCGCCGUUCGGGAUUCAGCCUUGCUUCUGCUCGGUUUACUUCCCGUUGGGUGGGUCAACAUCAGUUUCGAUCGGAGGAGAAAGGCUCGGGGAAGGUAGCAGCAUCCGUGCUGUGUUAUAGCCCCUUGUUGUAUACUUCGAUUGGGACUGAGGACCGCAGCACGCCUCUGGCCGGGGUUCGCCCACGUACGUGCUUAGGAUGUUGGCAUAAUGGCUUUAAGCGACCCGUCUUGAAACACGGACCA
rnacentral:rRNA from 1 species